rnacentral:tRNA from 1 species
GGGGGCGUAGCUCAGUUGGGAGAGCGCCGCGUUCGCAAUGCGGAGGUCGUCGGUUCGAUCCCGUCCGCCUCCACCA